AAACUCCUCGGACAAGUCCCACACCUUCAUGGCCUGGAGAAUCACGCUGCCCUUCACUCCAUGCGUCCAUACAGCCGCUGGGAAGCUGUCAUGUUUGAGGAGGACAUCCAUCCUGCUGGCCGCCCAGACUGACGCCUCCUUGCCGGCCUGUGUACUACUGCCUCCCACCACCAGCCCCUCCCUGUGGCUGAAUGCACUAGGAGGAGGCCUCCCAGACUGCCUGCUGCCCCGGUGCUGGAGUUCAUCGGGGAGUUUCCGGUGUACCUCCAGACGGUGGUGGAGUGUGCCUGCAAGGCAGAGCUGGAACUCUGGCACUACCUCUAUCAGCAGCCGGCAGCCCCAAGCAGCUCUUCAUACGAGCACUGGAGGUUCCCCAGCUGGACACAGCAGCCUCAUGCCUCAUCAUUUUGCAGGAGGGUGAGGAAGGAGAAGCAAGAAUCUGGAGAGUGCCUCCGUGAGUCGCUGCCUUACAACGCGUCUCCUCCAUGCCACUCCAGAAACCAGGGAGUGGAACCUCAGCAAAGACCUCAUCCGCUUCCUGCGCUCUGUAGAAGCAGCUGUUCCUGUAUGAACAAGAUCCUGAAGUCCACAGCCAGCGCAGCGUCAACAGCCAAGGCCACAGCAAUGAGGACAGGACAACCUCAGUCUGCUUCCUGGCCUGGAGCAGCAGUGUAUAGAUGGGCGUCUGUGUUCCUGGGUUCUUUCCUGCUGCUGAUCUGCCUCC